UUAUGUAGCAAAUUUCUAUAUUUAAUGAUAAAAAAAAAAUCUGACGAAGGGCGUUUUUUUUUAAUUGGCAGUAAUGCCAACAAUAAAAAAGAAACACAAAAUGUGUUACCACUUUUAUUAAUGAAAUUUACAACAAUACGUAUGUUUAUUCUUGAGGCUACUAACAGAACACAUUUACAGAUCCACAUUAAUUUAUCAAUCAAAAAUAUAUUUUGGAAAAAUAUUGACGUUUGGGAUCCUCCCGCCAAAAAGGCCGACUAAAAAUUAGUGCCGUGUGGUUCCCGGCACCAAUACAAAAAAGAAUAGGACCACUCCAUCUCUUUGUUUGUGUGUUUCAUACACAUAAUCACGUCUAUAUCCCUUGCGGGGUAGACAGAGCCAACAGUCUUGAAAAUACCGAAAGGCCACGUUCAGCUGCCUAGUUCAAUGAUAGAAUUGAGAUUCCAAUAGUGACAGGUUGCUAGCCCAUCGUCUAAAAGAAGAAUCCCGAGUUUAUAAGCCUAUCCCUUAGUCGCAUUUUACGACAUCCAUGGGAACGGGAUGGAGUGGUCCUAUUCUUUUUUUUUUUUAUUGGUGCCGGGAACCGCACGGCACUUAUCUAAUAUGCACCACGGUUUUACAUUUAUGGUUACAUAAAUAAGACAUUUGUACUAGCUGCAUUCUCGUCAUGUAAAAUCUACGGAGGUAGUAUGAUGAUGAGGGUGUAAAAAUAUUUAACAAUUUUAAACUGGACGCGUCUAUAUUUUUUUUUAUACCAUUGUAUUUUUUUUUUGCAAGACGAUUUAUCAUGUGCCAUUUUUUGUUUUUUUUUUAUAUUUGAAGUACUUUUGGUAUGUAUAUAAUUAAAGGUUAUUUAAAAUUAAUAGGCCUACGGUGUACAAAGUUCGGAUACGAGUGAUUUUUUUUUUAGACAUAUGUCCAGCUAGACCCUGCUGGUAUAUUUUAUUUGAGAGUCGAAUAAUACACAAUCCAUGUUUUUAUCACAUAAGUGAUUAUUGUGUCAUUUAUAUAAGUCCAGUCGUGUGGAAAUGUUUGUAAAAAUGGUAACGCCCAAGUACAGUCAGCCGUAAUAUAACUAACUUGGUAAAAGAAACGAAUUUUCAAUGGAUUUGGGUGGGUUAAUAUGCUGUUGUUGUUGACUGUACUGUUAUGUUGGUUUAAUUAAUUUUCCAAAUUAUUUUAAAUUGUCUUAAUUCCGUAGUAGCGUAAUGUAAAGAUUAAUAAUUUAUUUUGAUUUGUAAGUCUAAUUUAUUUAAACUUUGGCGAGUAUUAUAUAUAUUAUAUGUACCUAUGGAUGUUAUGGUCAGAUUUAUAUUUAAAAAGUAUGUCUUAGUUUUGUUUUAAAAUCCCUUUUUAGUGAAUUUAUUUUAUUUAAUAUUGUUUUGGGGUGUUUAUUAAGGUACCUAAGUACGAAGACAUGAUUUUACAUACAUAUUUCUUUUAUUUUUUUAAAUCAGACCAUGAAAAGAAAAAUAUUAUUAUGUUGUAAAAAAAAUUAGGGCACAUUAAAUGAAAAGUAUGUAUACGUAGAAAUUGUCUAUUAAAAGGAAAAAAAAAACGAAAGGUAACCGUAUGAGGGUAAUAAAAUGUAUGGAAAAUUAUUAGACUGUAUGUAAGAUUAUAAAAUUAUUUAACCUUAACCUCUAAGGAUGUUUAAUCGUAAUUUCGUAGACAGGGUUGGUCUAUUUGAUUUAGAUAAAUGCGCGCAAAUAUCUUUGCCUACUUAAAAAAAAGCACACGUCACAAUUUUGCGCGAAAUAUCUUCAUGAUUUGGCAUACUACUCGUAAGUGAUUAUCUUUGCCUGUCGCCUAAAACGAAGUUGAACGUUAGUAUUUUUAGCGCGAAACUACUCGAAAAAAAAAACUAAAACAGUUUUUUCCCACCAUAAAUGUAAAAUUUACUUCGCUUUUUGUAUAAAAUUGUUUAUUUUCAAAUAA